CUGGCUCAGAACGAACGCUGGCGGCGUGCCUAACACAUGCAAGUCGAACGUGAUCCGCCCUUCGGGGUGGUGAAAGUGGCGCACGGGUGAGUAACGCGUGGAUAAUCUGCCCGAGGAUUUGGGAUAACAUCUCGAAAGGGGUGCUAAUACCGAAUAAGCCCACGGGGUCUACGGAUCUUGCGGGAAAAGGGGGGGACCUUCGGGCCUCCUGUCCUUGGAUGAGUCUGCGUACCAUUAGCUAGUUGGUGGGGUAAUGGCCUACCAAGGCGACGAUGGUUAGCUGGUCUGAGAGGAUGAUCAGCCACACUGGAACUGAGACACGGUCCAGACUCCUACGGGAGGCAGCAGUGGGGAAUUUUGCGCAAUGGGGGAAACCCUGACGCAGCAACGCCGCGUGGGUGAUGAAGGCCUUCGGGUUGUAAAGCUCUUUCGGCCGGGAAGAAAUCGUGUUCUCUAACAUAGGACAUGGAUGACGGUACCGGACUAAGAAGCACCGGCUAACUACGUGCCAGCAGCCGCGGUAAUACGUAGGGUGCGAGCGUUAAUCGGAAUUACUGGGCGUAAAGCGUGCGCAGGCGGUUUUGUAAGACAGAUGUGAAAUCCCCGGGCUUAACCUGGGAACUGCGUUUGUGACUGCAAGGCUGGAGUACGGCAGAGGGGGGUGGAAUUCCACGUGUAGCAGUGAAAUGCGUAGAGAUGUGGAGGAACACCGAUGGCGAAGGCAGCCCCCUGGGCCUGUACUACGCUCU
rnacentral:rRNA from 1 species